GAUGAACGCUAGCGGCAGGCUUAAUACAUGCAAGUCGAACGGUAAGUAGUGUAGCAAUACAUUACCAAGAGUGACGUACGGGUGCGUAACACGUAUGCAACCUACCUUGUACAGGAGUAUAGCUCGGGGAAACUCGAAUUAACCCUCCAUAAGAUCGUGGUGUGGCAUCACACAGCGAUAAAAACUCAGGUGGUACAAGCUGGGCAUGCGUCUGAUUAGAGUUGGCGGGUAACGGCCCACCAAGACGAUGAUCAGUAGGGGAACUGAGAGGUUGA
rnacentral:rRNA from 1 species